GAGGAAGAUAUAAUUACCAUAUCAACAGUCAGGAGUAAUGGAGCUGGUACAGUUGGGUUUCUAUCAAACUUACGGAGGACUAACGUGGCUCUAACAAGGGCCAAGCAUUGCUUAUGGAUUGUGGGGAAUGGAACCACUCUGUUCAACAGCAAUUCCGUUUGGCAAAAGAUUGUCAAGGACACAAGGGAUAGAGGUUGUUUUUUAAUGCCACUGAUGAGAAGGAGUUGCUGAAUGCAAUUUUCAAGCCUGCUGUUGAGUAUCCUCACGCGGACAAUUUAGCUGGCGAGGAGACAAGGCAACGAUUGAGUACCAGGAUGAGUCUAUUCAAUGUCGCUAAGGCAAUAGUUACAAGAUCCUAGAAGAUAACCCGUGGCAGCUCUACUCUACAAUAAGGGUGAUAAAGAUGUCUCGCCCAAUGGAAGAUAUCAUAUUUAGACAUGAUCAAGGUAGCAAGAUGUUGACCCCAUGGGUCCUUUUGGUGGAAUAAUGAUAGAGUGCGGCACCAAUCAACCUAUUGAGAAAGUGCUUGCAGUUGAAGAUGCAAUAAGUCUAAUGCUUGGAUUUUUUAACAUAGAUGCUGCAUAGCUUUAGCCUUAUUGAUGCUUGAGUUGCUACCACUGAAGAUCUUUUGAACUACAGUUUUCACAAGCACACAUUAUAUUUUUCCUUCAUAACGACUGAUGUAAGAAGGGCAGGCUUGGUGUAGUGGUGAGAGUUGUCUCACUGAGUCACCAGGCCAUGGGUUCGAAACAGCCUUAUGGGGGGUCUGCCCUUUGUUAUUCAUAACGACUAAUGUAGUUAUGUGUGUUGUC